ACCAGGCUCUAGUGGGGGGCCUGCCUUCCCUCUGCCUGCUGCUCGCCUUGCUUGUGAUCUCUCUCUUCCUCUGUAACAAAUAAUAGUAAAAAAUAAACAAGGGCGAUAAGUUAUGAUUACUUUUGUUUCUGAUGCCAGACAUAGGUUCAGAGGAUUGAAGAGAGAGAUCUAAGGAGCUAGCCUCUCAAGAGGAGUGAAUACCUAGUCACUGCAUUUCUCCACUUGAACUGGCCACCUUUUAAGUGGUCAUUAGCCACAUGUGGCUACUAGCCAUGGGACUUGGACAGCAGAGGUGUGGAAAGUCCGCACAUUCUUCCACUCAAAGGAUAUUGAAAAUUUCCAGUUCUCAGUAUAACUGCCAACUGGCCCAGGGGUGGACAAGUGAGUCAGAUGAGACCAAAAUGAAAUUUCUGUUGAGACACUGGACCUUGAGGAUUCAAGCCAAUGACGAAAAAGUGUUGGUACUCCAUUAUUCUGAUGGUCCAUUAACUCUUGCUUUUUUGGUUCCUGUGUCUAUCACAGCCCCUGCCUUUUUGAAGAUAAUGACCACUCAUCUGAGUACACAGUUCGCAGAAUCCCUUUGCAGUGGCCCAU